CCGCGUAAAUAAUGGAUGUAAUUGGUGAAACACGUCGGUCUAUUGACAUACACAGCUCGCACGCUCGUUUUCUUAAGGGGUUGUGUUAACCUGUUGAUAAAAUAACAACGUGUGAGUGCGGGCGUGUAGACAGUAGCAGGGUAAACGUUUACCUAAAUAUUUUGUUUCUUUUAUCAUUUGAGGGACGAACGUUAAACUGAAGGUAAUACUACAUUAUAUCAAUCAUUUUGCCUCUCAUUAUUGGCCUAAUCACUCUUCGAGAAAUUGGAUGGGCUUCUUUUUUCAUGUGCUCGGUGGGCGCGUCCAUUCCUCCGCAGAGGGGGGACGGUCCUUCCCGCAUUCAGUAGAAGCGAUCCGACGGUUCGCGUCUUUCUCCAACCGUGGCGCCAUUUAAACAGCAGUCGUUGUUUUUUACAUAUUCGUCGACUUUCGUGCGAGUCGAGGUGAUCGUUACGGGCCGCUGUGCCGCGGCAGCGCGCCGCGCACCCCUCCGCCGCUCUGCGGUGGCGGCGCCUGGAAUAACCUUGGUUUGAGCCAGGCGAGCGGCCGGAGAGACGAGCGAGAGGCUGAACGGUGCGGCGGCAACUGGCGGCGUGAACAUGGCGGAGACCGUACGCUCGCUCUUCGACUACCGGGACCCACACAGCCUGGACAGCGAUGGAGAAGGCGUCAAAGCGACGGCGCCACUGCGGGGGCGCGGAUGUGGCAGGAAAAGGAAAGGGACACCUGUGAAAGUCUUUGUUACGAACACAGAGGAAGAGGGUGUGCCUGAGCACAGCUUCGGUCCAGCUGAUCGUAAAGAAUCGGAGAGUAAACGGCCCACACUGGAUGGGCCGUUCCACAACACAGAGCCUGCUCCUCAUCGUAACUGUAGUCCAGGGCAGCAUCACAGCAAAGUCUCCACUGGUUCCAAGACCGGCUCCUGUGCAGCCUCCACACCAGCUCCAGCUGCUGCCCCCGCCUCAGCAACAGUCCCUGCUCCUGCCCCAGCCACAGUGGCUUCAGCACACGCGCCGCCUCUGACGCCCGCGUCCACGGCUCCGGCGGCCCCGGCGCCCUCCGCUCCGGCUCCGACGGCCAGCUCCUUCCCUCCCUCCCCCAACUGUCGCAUCCGGGAGGUCCACUGUGGCAGCCAGGUGCGGCUGGUGGUUAUCGCCAUCCGAGACAUCACCAAGGGGGAGGAGAUCACCGUGGACUACAGCCUGACAGAGUGGGGGGAGAAUCUGAGUUUCCGUGGCACUUUGUCUCCAGCUCAACAUGAGUGCAACUCUGACACGGAGAAUAACAACAGUAUUAAAAGGGAGGAGGAGCCCCUCCCUCUGACAGCCCAGCAGCAGCAGCAUGUCACCCCUUCUUGGUCCCUCUCCCCCUGUUCCUCCCCUAUCUCCCACUCCGAUGCCAGUGACUCAGAUGCUGGAGACGAGGACAACGCCAGCCCCCGCGGGCGAGCGCUACGCCGGCGCAAGAAACGCCGCGGCACUCCCUCGAAGAAGAAGACUCCGCAUCGAACCCCAACCAGACGCCCGCCACCCGUCUCCCCGAACGGGGCUUCCCAUCACCACCGCCCCAUUUCUUUACCCCUCCCUCCAGCACAGUCUUCCCCUCCUUGCUCUUCUUCUACAUCCUCCUCGGCAAAGUCUGCGUUUAAAGCUCCAGCUCCUCUAAGCUCCAACAGCCCAACCAACCAAGUCAACACCAACGCCCCCAGAGGAGCCGUGUCCAUAGACUCCAUGCGGCAAACCUGUGAGUACUGCGGGCGUCACUUCCGCUCUUUGGGUCGCCACUUGGACAAACACCAUGCCCACCAACCAGAAGUGUGUUCUGCUCUUGUUGAGCGCUACACCCAGAUGCCUCACCUGCACGCACACAACACAAACCCUGCUCACGCUCACACGCAUCAGCACCUGAAGUCGUCACAGAGCCGCAGUGUAGAUCAUGUACAGAGUGGUGCCCAGGACCUGCUAAUGUCUCCGCCCAGUCUGACGGCAGCCAACAAAUCCUUUCCCUCCUCUGGAAAAAACUCUAGCCCACCUGUGCUGGCUCCUCUGAGAGAACAGAUCGCAGUACCAGUGUCGGUCUUAAAGAGGAGCCCACCCCCCGUGGCUGUGACACAGUCCAAGAAGGGAGCAGCGAGGAGGCCAAAGAAAGAACGACAGCAGGAGGAAGAAGAUGAUCAGGAUGAAGAUGUGGAGGUGGUGGAGGUAAAGAGGCCCAAAGAGGAGGAUCUAAGUCCUCGAACCUACAGCAGCAAGUCACCCAAAGAGGGAGAGGCAUUAAAAGAGGAGCAGGAUGGGGAAGAGGAAGAGGAGAAUAGAGUGAUGGAGGUGGAAGAUGAUAGUGGGAAUGAAGAGAAGGAAAAGGACUUAUUGAGUUCGGGGCGUCACCACAUGCUGCCCCUUCUUUCGUCGCUGUCCUCUCUGGUGCUCUACCUUCGCCGCCUGCAGCACUCGGCCUUCUUGUCCCUGUCUCGGCAGCUGCAGUCGGCGGAGGCCUGGCGCCUCCUCUGCCACUCCAGUCUGGCUCUCCUCAUCCUGUACAAUCGACGGCGCGAGUGUGAGGUCUCCAAACUGUCCAUUGCUGAAUACCGUGCCCGUGUCACUCCCCAGUGCCCCGUUCCCGUCCCACCUGGCGCCCCGCCUGCUCUCACGCCACUGGAGGCCUCUCUGUCACCUUUUGAGCGGCUGGUGCUUCCUCACCUCGCUCGGGUCGGGGUCCAGGGUAAGCGUGGACGUGUGCAGCCCCUUAUCCUCCCCCCGCACUGCGAGCCCUGCCUGGAGCUCCUCCUGCAGACGAGGCAGGACGUUGGGGUCGACCCCACGAACCCGUACGUUUUUGCCCGGCCGUACCACUCCCCUGCCACGCCCCUGAGAGGCACGGACCUUCUCCGGAGUCUGGCUCGCUCCAGUGGCACCCGCAACCCCCGCGCGCUAACUCAGACCAGGGUGCGCCGCCAGGUGGCAAUCCUAACACAGCUACUGCUACUGGGAGAAGGCGAGGAGCCCAGGCAGCCAGGAGGCAGCGCUGUGGAGCGGCUGGAGCACUUCCUGGAGAGGGAGUACCAUGUGACGCAGAACUGCGCCGGAAUUGGACAGGACCCAGGCCUGAUGGGCCGAGUGGGCCGAGUCGUUCUGUGCGGAGAGAGAGACGGAGUGUUGUUCCGGGGAAUGAGCCUGAACCACAUCUGCUUGGAACUGGAUGUCAUGUCGGGGAACUCUGCGGAUUCGUACUCAGAGGGAGAGUCUGACGCGGAGCAGGUGAAGGUGAAGACUGAGGCGCCUCCUCCUGCCCCCGCUCCGGCCCCCGCCCCCGCCCCUGCCCCCGCGCCAACUCCUACACCUACCCUGCUGUAUGUCAGGAAGGGCAAGAACAACGGGCGCGUGGGACGACCCAAGAAGCUCAAGAACGCCCAGCCGCCCGCCCCACCCCCACCGCUGCCUUCUCCACCUCUAGCUGCAAACCACAGGAGGGGCUCAGGAAAGCGAGGCGUCCUGAAGCGGCCCUGGUCCGAGGCGGAGCGCGCCGCGGUGGAGGAGCACCUGACGCAGAACAUCACAGAGCUCCGGGUCCCCGCCAAAGCCGACUGCGAGCGCUGCCUGCAGCAGUGCCCGCUGCUGGUCAACAACCAGCGCGACUGGCGCGCCAUCAAGUUCUACUGUCACAACCGCAUUCAGCUGCUGAAGAAAACCCAGCGGCGCGAGAGCCAGCCCCAGACCCUCAUCGUGUGCUGAGAGGCUGGGGAGGCGGUGCGAGUAGACCCUCAAAUGGUACCUACUGCUUGGGACGUGCACUCAUCUUAAGGCGGUGGUCCUACAUUUCAGUUCUCUGCUUGAUUAAAUGGCCCGCAAUCAGGCGUGUUACUGCGUUUUUAUUUGGAUUGAGCACAAGAAGAGAACUUUCCCAAACUAUUUGUGCUGCUUUAAGGUCUUAAAAAUGACACUCAAGUCUUUAUGGUGCUUAUGCUCCUGGUCCCUCAGUGACAGUGCACUUGGUUAGGUGCCAUUUGAGACAUGCUUUCAGAUACCACAGGACUGACCGCAGCCCAUGCUGCUGCAAAGGGACAUUUAUUUUCUCUUUCCUGAAAAGACACACUAAGCUCAGACUCAAACGGCAGAGGCAGCCGAGUCCUACAGUGUUGUACUAUGAACGUCGUACAGUAGCAUUAGCAUUUUAUGCUCGAAGACGUUAAUGGGACAAAUGGCCUGUGUCCGGGCCACACUUUUCCCACUAGUGGCUUUAUAUUAGAGUAGUACUGCUAACCUAGGAGAAUAUCGACGCCUCUCUUCAAACAUGCUAGUUCUUCUGGUCAUAUAACUGACUGUGCAAUUGCGACUUUGGCUUCAUUAUAUUUGCACCUUAAUUUACAUGUAGGUACUAGCUAAUGAACGAGUUACGCUUUUGAAGUUACUAUGAAGUUUGUGUCUUUUCUUUGGAAUGGAACACGAUAACGUUUCUAGUUGUGGGUUUCAUGGCAGAGACAAUGAAAUGGCCUCAGAAUGUUGUGAAUUUUAAAGAUAUUCGGUCAAACCGUAAGGUCUUGAAAGAGACUUUGUUGGGCCUUUUUUUCCCUACACUCAGAUGUCAACCACUACCAGUUCUCUCUUAGCUGUCUGUUCGCGUUUCCCGCUGUCUGUUGUUGUUUUUUUCUGCCUGUUGCACAUUUCUUAUUCAGAGCAGUAAAAAGGUGCUAUAGGCCAAUAAACUGGAUAUCACUGUAGAGGGGGAUUUCCUA
rnacentral:lncRNA from 1 species